AUUGAACGCUGGCGGCGUGCUUAACACAUGCAAGUCGAUCGGUAACAGGUGUAGCAAUACAUGCUGACGAGAGGCGGACGGGUGAGGAACGCUUGGGAAUCUGCCUAUCAGCGGGGGACAACCCGGGGAAACCCGGGCUAAUACCGCAUACGCUCUACGGAGGAAAGCCGGGGACCGCAAGGCCUGGCACUGAUAGAUGAGCCCAAGUCGGAUUAGCUAGUUGGCGGGGUAACGGCCCACCAAGGCGACGAUCCGUAGCUGGUCUGAGAGGACGAUCAGCCACACCGGAACUGAGACACGGUCCGGACUCCUACGGGAGGCAGCAGUGGGGAAUAUUGGACAAUGGGCGAAAGCCUGAUCCAGCGACGCCGCGUGGGUGAAGAAGGCCUGCGGGUUGUAAAGCCCUUUCGGUAGGGACGAAAGCUCUCGACCUAACACGUCGGGAGGUUGACUUAACCUACAAAAGAAGCACCGGCUAACUCUGUGCCAGCCGCCGCGGUAA
rnacentral:rRNA from 1 species